GGGGGGGGGGGGGGGGGGGGGGGGGGGGGGGGGGGGGGAGGGGAGCGGAGGGAGAGGUUGCGGGGACGGGGGGCGAGUGGGGGACGGGGGAGGGCGACAGCGGGAUCUGCGCUUUCGUGGGGGGUAACGGAGGGAAAGUUACGCGAAUACCGCAUCCGACCGACGGGGGAAAGCCGGGGGGCUUCGGAGCUUGCGCGAGUGAAUGAGCCGAUGUCGGAGUAGCUAGUUGGCGGGGUGACGGCCCACUACGGCGACGAUCCGUAGCUGGUCUGAGAGGAUGAUCAGCGACACUGGAACUGGUACACGGUCCAGACUCCUACGAGAGGCAGCAGUGGGGAAUAUUGGACAAAGGGCGCAAGCCUGAUCCAGCCAUACCGCGUGGGUGAAGAAGGCCUUCGGGUUGUAAAGCCCUUUUGUUGGGAAAGAAAAGCAGCAGGUUAAUACCCCGCUGUUCUGACGGUACCCAAAGAAUAAGCACCGGCUAACUUCGUG
rnacentral:rRNA from 1 species